CUACCACACCUUCUCUUAACGGCUAUGAUUGACCCCCCAACAACCGGAAAUUGACAGAAGAAAAAUAUCAAAAAGAAAUCCCGACCCAGAUUUGAAGCUAAGAGUCUGAAUUCUUGAUGGGCUCUCGUCCAUUCAGACACACAUACACAUAAAGAUUGUGUGUGUGUUUUCUUGUUUUUUGGGACAUGAGCCUCCUGCGAAGAUCUUCCCCUCAAGUUCAAUUAUUUACUAAAAGGUCCUUCAAAUCUCUGAAAUUUCCUGGUGAAUCUCUCGAUGAAAUCAGCUCUCCUUCUCUCAUCCAUGGCAGUCACGUUUUCCAUUGCCCAGAUGAGGUGGGAAUUGUGGCAAAGUUGUCGGAAUGCAUAGCUUCAAGAGGUGGCAAUAUUCUCAAUGCUGAUGUUUUCGUGCCGGAGAAAAAGAAUGUCUUUUACUCAAGAAGUGCACUCAGUUGUUAGAUGUGAACAUGUGCCAAUGUAAACAACAAAGGAUAGCACUCGUUCAUAUUCAUCCAUCUCGUACCCUGGUCUAAUGCACUGGUGGUCUGGGACUAGCGUAGAGUCUUCCAAGUAUGCAGGUAGGCAGUACAUUCAGUGUGGUGUGUUCGUCUUUUGCAUCCGUGCAGUGUUGUGGAUUUUGGUUAUAUCCAGUAUCCAAAUAGUGCAGUAUGAAAAUAAGAUUUGUUCAUUCUUGCUUAUUUAGGAGUUCAUAAACCUGAUUUAUUAUCAAUUUAUAUUUAAAUAAUUGAUUAAGAACAACUGCCAAGCAGUUGUCUUGGGCAGCUCAUUUACCCUAUAUGAAGCAUUGGAAAACACAAUAGUGGAGUUCAUAUUUGGGCAGGGUGUUACCCUCUUGAUACCAACGGUGAUAUAGCUAUUUGAAUAUGCAAUUAUAGUGGAGGUGGAAAAUUCUUUAUUCAAAAUGCUUAACAUUUAAACAUUGAUCACACAAAAUCAUAAUGUACCACUGUAACGAAAGGGAGAAGUUCGAGGUGGGAAAAACACCUUGGAUUGGACAAACAGGCCAGCUAGUUCGGUCCAGUUCUAAAGAGAUAAAAAUGAAAUUUCAAUUCUGUACCAAUGAGUACCAGCCAGUUCAGUCUAGUUCAUUUGGGGCUUAACAUAUAAUCGUUGAUCAAAAUCUAUACAAAAUCAUAAUGAACCAUCGUAUCGAAUGGGAUAAGUUGGGGGGUGGGGGAACUCCCUAGAUUGAAUGAACUGGCCAGCCAGUUAGGUCUUGUUCCAAAUAAACAAAAAUGAAAUUUCAAUUAUGUACCUACGAGUACUAGCCAGUUUUGUCUAGUUAAUUUGGUGUUCACAAAUGGUUUAUGUGGAGGGUUUAUAAAGACAAUCUUGAGUAAUGCCAGUUAAUUUAUAAGAAGAUGAAAAUGGAUGAGAACGUAUUUGUGGUGUGAACCUGAGAAUGCUCUUCAUAAAGUUAAAGUUUCCUUCAAAUAUGUAGGUAUGGUCACUGAAGCUUCUCGGUUUUGUUUUUGGCUUAGGGAGUAUAUCAAAUGUUUUCAAGAGAAAACGUAGUGUGUUUUCUCUUUAUACCUGUCGGAUUUUAUGGAGGAAAAAUAGAAUUUCUAAUGGGAGAAAGGCUUUAUGAAACAUAUAAUCAUUGAUCAAAACUUGCACAAAAUCAUAUCGAACGAUCAUAACGAAUGGGAGAAGUUAGGGGUGGGAAAAACUCCCAGGAUUUGAUGAACCGGCCAGCUAGUUAGAUCUAGUUCCAAAGAAACAAAAAUGAAAUUUCAAUUCUGUGCCAUCGAGUACCAGCUGGUUUAAUCUAGUUCAUUUGGUGUUCUCAAAUGGUUUUCGUGGAGGGGUUUAUAAAGACAAUUCCGAGUAAUGCAAAUUGAUUUAUAAAGAAGAUGGAAUUAGAUUAGAUCGUCAUUGUGGAUUGUACUGGAGAAUGCUCUUCAUAAACUAAAAAAUGUUUCCUUCAGGCAGGUAGGUAUGGGCACUGAAGCUUCUUGGUUUUGUUUUUGGCUUAGGGAGUAUAUCAAAUGCUUUCAAGAGACAAUGUUGUGAGUUUUCUUUAUGUACCUAUCGGAUUUUAUGGAGGAAAAAUAGAAUUUCUAAACAGGAGAAAGGCUUUAUAGAAACACAUAAUCAUUGAUUUAAACUUGGCACAAAAUCAUAAUGAACCAUCAUGUCUAAUGGAAGAAGUUAGGGGUAGGAAAAACUCCCUAGAUUGGACAAACCGGCUAGCCAGUUAGGUCCUGUUCCAAAGAAACAAACAUGAACCUAUCAAUUUUGUGCCAAUGAGUACCAUCCAAUUCAGUCUAGUUCAUUUGCUGCUCUCAAAUGGUUUUCGUGGAGGGUUUAUGAAGACAGUAUUGAGCAAUGCCAAUUGAUUUAUAGGGAAGAUGAAAAUGGAUGAGAACGUUAUUGUGGUUUGAACUGAAGAAUGCCCUUCAUAAACUUAAUAAAAUUUCCUUCAGCGGCAAGUAUGGGCACUAAAGCUUCUUGGUUUUGUUUAUGGCUUAGGGAGCAUAUCAAAUGCUUUCAAGAGAAACAUAGUGAGUUUUCUCUUUAUACGCGUCGGAUUUUGUGGAGGAAAAAUAUAGUUCCUAAAUAAGAAAAAGGCUUUAUGGAAUUUGUAGUGAGUUCCGCCAUCACUUAUGAUGGCUCUUGGUGAUCUAUAGCGGUUGAAUAUAUGUUUCUUUGUAAAAUCUACCACCACCCUUGCAUCAUUGGUGGGCAAUGCCUUGGCUUCUACCCAUUUGGAGACAUAAUCCACUGUCACUAUAAUAUAUCAAUUGUUAUAGGACAAACGGAAAAAGUCCCAUAAAAUCAAUUCCCCAUAAAUCAAAUAUUUCCACCUCUAGAAUAUUGUUUAUGGCAUCUCGUAACGGUUCGAUAUGUUACCUAUUCUUUGACACUUAUCACAUGAUCUACAGAAGCUGUGGCAGUCCCUAAACAAUGUUGCCAAAAGAAACUGCAUUGGAGUACCUUUCCUGCUAUUUUAGUAUAGCUAAGUGUCCUCCAUAAAUUGAAGCAUGACCCUUGAAAGGAUUAGAUUUCAUCUUAUCCUUUGGCACACUUUCUGAUAAUUUAGUUUACUCUUCUUCUGUAUAAAUUUAGAUAAUCUCAAUAAUAUAAUUUAGCUUUAUGUAGAAGCUUUUUCUCCGGUCUGGAUCCACAUAGCCACUAUCUAAGUAGUUGACAAUGUCUGCAUACCAUAGUGUUUUAUCCAUCUCAUUGAUGUCCAUCUGUCUCAUUCGACUACUCUAGCCUCGACAAGUGAUCUGCUACUUGGUUUUCUUUCCCAUUUUAUCAUGAAUUUCAAUAUCAAACCUAUUCUUUGACACUUAUCACAUGAUCUAUAGAAACUGUGGCAGUCCCUAAACAAUGUUGCCAAAAGAAACUGCAUUGGAGUACCUUUGCUGCUAUUUUAGUAUAGCUAAGUGUCCUCCAUAAACUGAAGCAUGACCCUUGAAAGGAUUAGAUUUCAUCUUAUCCUUUGGCACACUUUCUGAUAAUUUAGUUUGCCCUUCUUCUGUAUAAAUUUGGAUAAUCUCAAUAAUAUAAUUUAGCUUUAUUUAGAAGCUUUUUCUCCUGAUAAUAAGUAAGGUCUGGAUCCACAUAGCCACUAUCUAAGUAGUUGACGAUGUCUGCAUACCAUAGUGCUUUAUCCAUCUCAUUGAUGUCCAUCUGUCUCUUUCGACUGCUCUAGCCUCGACAAGUGAUCUGCUACUUGGUUUUCUUUCCCAUUUUAUCAUGAAUUUCAAUAUCAAACUCUUAUAGUAAUAGAACCUAUCGAAUUAGCCUGAGUUUCACAUCCUUCUUCUCUGUCACGAUUUGGAAAAGAAUAAUGGAGAGAAGAAGUUAGAUUUUUUCCUCCCCUCUAAUUUCAUUAUAUAGAAAAAUAACAAGAGUACAUGUUUGAUUACUUGGUACAAGAAUGGAAACAUGGAAACACAAUAAACUUUAGCUAUUCCCAAUUGACGUGAUUUACUUCCUUAACGCUCCCUCUUAUGCUGGAGCAUAUACAUCAUAUAAGCCCAAUUUGGGACAAAGAAACUUCAACCGAUUACUAUUCAACGACUUUGUAAACAUAAGAGCAAGCUGGUCUCCUGUCUUAACAAAUGGUGUACAUAUAUCACCACUCACUGUUUUGUCCAGGACAAAGUGACAAUCAAUUUCAAUAUGUUUGGUCCUCUCAUGAAAGACUAGAUUUGAUGUAAUAUGUAAAGCAACAUUAUUACAAAACAUUGGAAUAGGAGUGGAAGGUGAGAGAUUGAUUUCUUGAAGAAAGUGCUGCAACCAUGUCAACUCGCUAGUAGUAUGACCUAUCACCUUAUAUUCUACUUCUGUACUUGACCUUGUUACUAUAGUUUGUUUCUUA